rnacentral:rRNA from 1 species
AGGGUUUGAUUAUGGCUCAGGAUGAACGCUGGCGGCGUGCCUAACACAUGCAAGUCGAACGGAGCUGCUUUGAUGAAGUUUUCGGAUGGAUUUAAAACAGCUUAGUGGCGGACGGGUGAGUAACGCGUGGGUAACCUGCCUCACACUGGGGGAUAACAGUUAGAAAUAGCUGCUAAUACCGCAUAAGCGCACGGUUCCGCAUGGAACAGUGUGAAAAACUCCGGUGGUGUGAGAUGGACCCGCGUCUGAUUAGCCAGUUGGCGGGGUAACGGCCCACCAAAGCGACGAUCAGUAGCCGGCCUGAGAGGGUGAACGGCCACAUUGGGACUGAGACACGGCCCAA